AUGGGGAGCAGCCGCGGCUCCCCAGCCCCACGCUGCCAGGCCGCUGGCUGCCACCCUCCAGGCAGAAGUGGAGCCACCACUUUCUGCUCAGGUGUUCCAGCAAGAACAGCAGGGAAAGAGGCAGCCACCUCCAGGCCACUGGUAGACCUGGGGCCCUUCCCGGGGCCCUUCCGUUACGCUGCUCCCGUGGAAUUCAUGUCGGUUUCUCUAGUCCUGGGGCCCUUCAGUUAUGCUGCUCCCAUGGAAUUCAUGUCGGUUUCUCUAGCCCCGGGCCCUUCAGUUAGCUGCUCCCGUGGAAUUCAUGUCGGUUUCUCUAGUCCUGGGGCCCUUCAGUUACGCUGCUCCCAUGGAAUUCAUGUCGGUUUCUCUACUACAGCAGAAGUGAAAGAGCUUGUCUGGCUUGACAUUUGUCCCAUUUUUUUUUGGCCAGUAGUUGGCUUUGAAUCUCUCUGUGUCCUGCUUAAUUAUAGCUUUCUGGAUUGGCUGUUCUUAGCAAUGAGGGUGUCAACGCAAAGCAACCAGGCAGCUACCUUCUGGGAAGAAACCGUCUGUGCUCACACUGGAUGCAAAUCUGCAAGAUUUCGGGGUCUGGCAAAGUAG
rnacentral:lncRNA from 13 species